AGUGAACGCUGGCGGUAGGCCUAACACAUGCAAGUCGAACGGCAGCACAGUAAGAGCUUGCUCUUACGGGUGGCGAGUGGCGGACGGGUGAGGAAUACAUCGGAUUCUACUUUUUCGUGGGGGAUAACGUAGGGAAACUUACGCUAAUACCGCAUACGACCUACGGGUGAAAGCAGGGGAUCUUCGGGCCUUGCGCGAUUGAAUGAGCCGAUGUCGGAUUAGCUAGUUGGCGGGGUAAAGGCCCACCAAGGCGACGAUCCGUAGCUGGUCUGAGAGGAUGAUCAGCCACACUGGAACUGAGACACGGUCCAGACUCCUACGGGAGGCAGCAGUGGGGAAUAUUGGACAAUGGGCGCAAGCCUGAUCCAGCCAUACCGCGUGGGUGAAGAAGGCCUUCGGGUUGUAAAGCCCUUUUGUUGGGAAAGAAAAGCAGCAGGUUAAUACCCCGCUGUUCUGACGGUACCCAAAGAAUAAGCACCGGCUAACUUCGUG
rnacentral:rRNA from 1 species